rnacentral:tRNA from 1 species
GGACCUGUGGCGCAACAGUUGCGCGUCUGACUCCAGAUUCAGAAUGUUAUGUGUUUUAAAUCACAUUGGGUUUA